rnacentral:rRNA from 1 species
UUUUAUAGACGACGUGGCGGCUCUGGGUAGGUAGGGGUAGGGGUAGGGGUAGUUAGACCGACGUGGUGCCGCUGACACGACGAGGCGGCUCUGGUCGAGGUAGGGGUCGACGUAGAUAAACCCCAUGCCGCCGCCGUCACGCCGGCCGCCGUCACGCCGGCCGCCGCAGAAAGUAUCGUAUCGUUCUACAGGUGGUUACCGCAGCUCGAGCUACCCCACACACGAGGCGGGCGCGGUACCUUGUUGACGCGGAUAGGUCAGCUCAGCGUCCUAAGCUACUCGCAGGGUUGGUACCGUAAACCGUGGCCGCCGCUACGUGUCGAUCAGCCCCUACGUCGAUCCCGGCUCCACACAAGACUUCGUUGGUCACCGACCCGUACGUCCAGCUACUUUUUUACUAGACAAAAACGAGACGACGUUAAAAUCAAACCCACGGGGAGUGUACAAACUAGAUUAAAUGUCAUACCAAGAAUCCAUGUAUUCUCUAAUUCGUCACACAACAAAACCAACCUAAACCAAGCUUAUAGACUACCAUCGUAAUCCAUCACAUGACGUAUUACUUACCUCAAACAAGUUAAAAUAACUACUAAACUACCAUCGUGAUCCAUCAUUUGACGUUGACCAACCUCAAACAACCUAAAAUAACUACUAAACCACGAUCGUAAUCCAUCAGUUUGUGUCUACCGACCUCGAACAACCCAUAGAAGUCAACGUCACUGAAUACAACACAACAAACCUACUUUCCAACCUAAUGUUUCAAAUUAUACCUAUUACUCCGUAAAAUACUACCGUCUUCCCAUCUAAAGAUCAAACGACUGUCCUGUAACCUCAAAACACCCACACGUUAAAUCUAGCCACACACCCCUAGUCUCUCGUACACGGUAGUAACUCAAAUCCUACCGAACGACGUAAUCGUUCCGAACUGGCGCCUCCUGACAUCGAACAACCCCAAGAGGUAAACGUCACUGAAUAUAACACAAGAAAUCUACUUUUCAACCUAAUGCCUCAAAUUAUGCCUAGAAUACCCUCAAAAUCCAACUACCCCAACCUUAAGAUCAAACGACUAAUCUUUGACUUCAAAACACCGACGCGUUAAACCUAACCACAUACCCGUAACACCUCAGACACGGUACUAACUUAAAUACUCCUUUUAAACAGCGGACAACAACAAUAACCAUAUCUAACUAUCACAAUAACUAAUGCGAGCUAGCUAACCCACCCAAUCUGAUUAUAAAAAACGACGUUUUUGUAAAAAAUUAUAUAGCGACUAGUCGUCGACGCAACCUAACAAACAGUACAUACAACUCAUCUCAGUAACCGUCCAGCUAGCAAAAAUGUUGUGGAAGGACGCUCAUUCUGCGGUAUAAAAAUACAUUCCGCCCCUCUACUACAUUAACCAACAAUGAAUAGGCCAAUUAAUACAUUAACGUUUAGAACCGCAAAUUUGACAUACCACGCACACACCGACGACACUUGUACUUUUUAAGGACAGAACGAAAGGCACACACCUACUAGAUUGCCAAAAGUAGGUAAAAAAACACAGAGAAAAAAACUCUACUAAUAGGUCCCACUCCUAGCCCUUUCGGGGCCUCCUUUCCCUCUACUUGGGUUUAUCCUUUAGUUGAGAACUUAACAGAGACGCGCGAAUACGACUAUUCUUCCUACCGGGACAAGAGACAGGUUCAUAACCUUGUUCGAAACUGAGAUAACUGCUCCGAAUACUCAAGAUGUUAGAAAUAAGUACCCUUACACCAAAACCUCAAUCCGAGCGCUUUUCAUCUGACUUACAGCUCUCCUUCUCUACGUACGUUCUCUAGCACACACGAACACGUCCGUUUGGUUAGUCCCUUUUGUCGGCGAGCAGGUCCACACCGACGUUGCGGUACUAUUCUGACAACGCCAGUUUACUGUUUCCCACCAUAUAACGUCUUGUGUUUCUACGGGUAUUAGUGGGCGACAGAAACUGCACACCCGUCUUCGACGUGACCUUCAAAGUAUCUGUAUAUCUAUCUAUGUGGUUCCUAGAUCACUUUGUCAACUCUCUGUUAUUACACCCCGAACCUUUCCACAAGUCAUAGCAACCAUCAAAAAAGCCAAGUCAUCUAUUACACGGUAAAUGCUUCUCCAGCAACUUCUGCGAGACAGCCUUUGAUUUGUUUCUCGUCAGACUGUACCUACGUUACUUCUACUACCUCUAAGACAGACUCUACUUCCGAUUACUAGGACUAAAGUUAAUGUGUCACGUUCACCUAUUCCUCUCGGCACAUUUUUGUGACUACACCCAUUGUUCGUUUCCAGAACUAGUCAUGUCCACGAAACCUCUACGUUAAUGAAAACUAUGUUGCAUGGCGUGGUUAGAUAUACUAUACGGAAAGCCAGAAAACAACCUCAAUUGUUAGUGAAAGUUUCGUAUUAAAAACCACCACGUUACUACUCCCUACUCUUUCUCCUGUGUAAGUUCACCUAUAAAUCCCUCAAGUAGGCGUACCAACCGUCCUUUGUGGGCAUCUGCUAAGAAUGACUGGUGCGCGCACGAUACCUCGACCGAUAACGCCGUCUUGAUGGUUUGUGUCAUGUGGCAACCACAUUCACCGUGUAAAACUUCUUCCGCUUCCUCAGCUACCCACACGAGACCUCGUUCCUGUCAUUUAAAUUCUACCUCAAGGUGUUCGAAGAUGUAGUGUACUAGUGUUUCCUUCUUAAACUUCGACCAACCGUCCUGUACAACCUUUUAAUGUUGAACUCCUUCGUAGGUAAGGACUGCGUCUAUAUGCUCCACGCCGUAUUCACCCGUUUCGGUAUAAAGUCUCCGCACAAAACACGUUUCUACUGAUCGUGUGUUGCUUCGCUUUCACGAUUGGUAGACGACUUCCCAAUACAAGGUGGCCCCACGGGAUACGUGGAAAAGAACUUUGUUAAGCUUUUCGAAGUCAAACUGUCCCGCAGUCUUCUCUCGAAGGUUCUCUUCUCCUUUAACGAUUCACCACAGAGUGAAGCUGAUUUGGACGGUUAUCUCUCCGUACGAUCGUUCCACAUGUGGGCUCGGUACAAGCUCUUUAAACCACUUCUUGACAUAUUUACACCGCGUGUACACAACCUACUCUAACAUGGCUCUUUCUAAAUGUUUAGUUGUGUAAAUCUACACCGCCGUUCUCUUUUUACCUCAUUCCAUCUCAAGUUCUAACUUCACUUACUACUGUUCUCAAAAAAAUCAACGCUUACACCGUGUAAACUUGUGAGACCGAACCACACAACGGUACGUAACGUCCAAUACCACAACAAGGCAAAUAGCUUCUAUGGGCUCUUUGUAUAUUACUUUGCUACCUGUUCUCUACGUGCUCUACAAGAAGGUCGUGUAAACCAUGCCAUGGUUUCUCUGUCUCCGGGAGGAAGAUCACUGUGUAAGUCCGUAGUGUGUUACAUGUACUUCCGCGAACUUACACACAACGAACCACUAUCAUUACAAUUCACGAUACUACAAAAGUACCGAUACUACUUCCUCCACGUUCGGCGAGAGCACGGCAAUUCGUCACUAUUCCUACCGUACCCUGAUCGGCUUUCCCUUGUUGUUUUAGUCAACGAACAAGUCUUGCUCGUUCUCCGUGAGCUCAACGUUCCGACACGCUGUCCCAGACUCACACUACCACUUAGUUCAACAAGUCACUAACGUCCUGUCGUCUUGUUUGCCGGCUCCCCAUCUGGAUGUUGUUCGACACUGUUUCGAGGCAUACUUCUUGUAAACUUCUCUAGCGCCAAGACGUGCUAGACGUCCCCAGUCCCGGUGUUUACGUGUUGAACGGGUCUCUCUCCGCUAGACGGGUUCCGCGGUUCCUUUAACGGUUUCACAAGUUUAACACCACACGAACCUGUGUCCGCGUUACGAACACCGUGGUUCUUUAGAUCCGGCAAGCUCGGGUUAAAAGACAUUCGCUGUGACGACAUGUGACACACAAGUCAAAGUAGAAGCGGUCCUGGUUCUAGACGCAUGCCUAAACAGUAGAUUUGCGCCCAUAAAGCAUGAAUUGUAAUCGCCACUACAUUAAAUUACAAAAGAUAUCGGACGUUUAGACACGAAACGCACACGCUGUCGAACGACAACGACUACAACACUAAACAUCUGUUCCGACGUUAGAUACCCUAUAGUAAAAAUAAAACCACUCG